CGAUCCCAUAUAUCCCCACAUAGUCUAUUUUUGUCAAGACAAGAGAAUUUUCUCCAUCGACUUUGAUCUGGGGGUUGUGUUAAGUUGUCAACCUCUAGAGAUAUUGGACUGUGGCGGUAACUGGGACAGUCACGUGAUCGAGGGACGUUACGCCGACGUGCAAUGGUCAAAGUACUUCCAUGCCUGGGAGUUGCCAUCAACACAUUGCCUCAUGGCGCAUGGACUCAAGAAUCUAUGGACGGAGUGAAAGCGGGAAAAUACAAGUGAGGAUGAUCGUGAAUGCAAGGCUUUCUGUGCUUUUUGUCAUUGUUUUGGUCACAACAGUGCAACGUUCAGUUCCCUGCUGCGCUGUGUGUAAUUGAGCAAAUCACUACUUGUCGUGCUAGAUUUUGCUUUUUUUUUCAGGCGACGAAAUACUGAAUGUUGCCAACAUUGACAGUCCUCUCAGCAAAAGCAGAUUAUCAUGGUCUCAUAAACAUGAAUGCCAUCAGUUCACUCUU